CCUACGGGCGGCAGCAGUGAGGAAUAUUGGUCAAUGGGCGUAAGCCUGAACCAGCCAAGUCGCGUGAGGGAUGAAGGUUCUAUGGAUCGUAAACCUCUUUUAUAAGGGAAUAAAGUGUGGGACGUGUCCUAUUUUGUAUGUACCUUAUGCAUAAGGAUCGGCUAACUCCGUGCCAGCAGCCGCGGUAAUACGGAAGAUCCGAGCGUUAUCCGGAUUUAUUGGGUUUAAAGGUUGCGUAGGCGGCCUUUUAAGUAAGCGGUGAAAGUAUGUGGCUCAACCAUAGAAUUGCCGUUGAAACUGGGGGGCUUGAGUAUGUUUGAGGCAGGCGGAAUGCGUGGUGUAGCGGUGAAAUGCUUAGAUAUCACGCAGAACCCCGAUUGCGAAGGCAGCCUGCCAAGCCAUGACUGACGCUGAUGCACGAAAGCGUGGGGAUCAAACAGGAUUAGAUACCCCAGUAGUC
rnacentral:rRNA from 1 species